rnacentral:lncRNA from 1 species
AGAAUUUAUCAAUUCAUCCCAUCGCUCUGCUGCUUGUCAUGGGCUGCCUACCCAGGUUCUUCAGACUCAAACCGAUCACGCGUAGACCCAUCAGCCAAGUUGGUGUCGUCGUUGCCGCUAGAGAUGAUAUUGGAUUUCAUGUAAAGGAAAAGGAUUUUGAUGAUGAUUGUUGUGAAAAGAAAUACAGCUGGAACGAUAUAGAGAGACUGACCAUGAAUUUCGCUCGGGUGGUCGGAUCAGGAGGGUUUAGCACAGUGUUUUUGGCUCGCUUGCCCAGUUUGACUCUCGGAGCAGUCAAGAUCCACGGAAAUAGCGACCAUCUCAAU